CAGUGUUAUUUAUGGUGAACGGCUGAGCGCCCAACCAUCUGGAGCCCAGCCCCACUAAUCAUGUUCUCUGCCAAAACAAAUUGAACCUAAUUGGUUGGGAAAGAAGGAGGGGGAGAAGCAAUGACAACAAAAUCAACAACAACAAAAACAAAUACCCCAACUCACCCUGAUUCUAUACUAAAAACAAAUCAUUAAGUAUUAUCUAAAGUCAAAUUGCACCAAGUGUCUGACUGAGGCUGGUCCAAGUCUGGUCUUAUCAGCAUUCAGCACCACUGCCCCAGGAUGGACGAGGAAACACAGAACACCACUAAAGGGCACUGCAGGAACUCACAUCUCCUGGCAUUGGGAUUGGCAUGGUGCUCAAGGCUGCUCGUCUGCAGACUUUUCUGUGGAUGGAAGGCACCUGGCAGCUGGCUCUCGAGACUGCCAUCCACAGACCAGCCAGAGCACGUGCACAUACCUGCCUUCAGCCGGACCAACACCAGACGAGUCAUCUGGUGCCAAAGAAGGUUUCUUCAGGAUCAGAAUAACUAAAACUUCCUUAACAUAUGCAGGAGUCCUUCCAGAUUGCAAAAUGAAAAUCACUGCCCGGAAUCACUGCAUUCAAAGUAGGGAAAUAUCCCUUUAAAGAAACCCAUUGGCAACAUAACUAAAGGCCUUUAGGCCAAGCUGAUAUUCAAUAUAACUCCACUGAGUCAAGAGAAAUACACCAGGGAUUAAGUUUGGCCUGAUAGCAAAAACCACAGGCAAGUGAGACUGAUUCCCAGAAUCAAGUUGACCUGGAAAAUGUAGUUAGAUUUUGCCCUUAAAGAAAUAAUUUUCUUAAUAAUAACAGAUAAAAUGAAAUGCUUGUCAAAAUUAUUAUGAGCAUAUGGGGAUGAGAUGAUCAACAUUGCAUGAAUUAUUUCCUUCCACAGCUGUCUUUCUGGUUCACUCUUUAGCUGUUCUUUAAUUCCCAAGCUUGUAACCUUUCUACUGCUCUUCUAGAUUUCCUACCUGCCCUAUUCAUUCUUGACUUGCUAGACCCACACACUGUGUGGUUUUAGUACUAAUCCUAGGUUUGCCACUGACUCUCUGUGGGAAUUCUGAGACUUUUUUGCCCAGUAUCCUUCAAUUCCAUCUCUAAUGGUACAUCAAUACAUGAACUAAUUGCCAGGCAAUAUUAAGGGUAAAAUACCUGGUUUUAUCUUCCUGGAUUGGGCCCUUGGGCUUCAGCUUAAUGCCUUGCAAGCACUACCAAGCAAGGAUGGCAGUUAGCAUGAGGAAAAAACAUUCUCAAAAGCAGUGCCUGCAUAUGGGUCUUGCUUCCUGAGAGAGGAGAAUUAAUACCACAGAAUUAAUCUCUUUCAAAGCUCUGUCCAAAACUCAUUUGUUGUGUUUAACUUGUUCUCAGCACUUGUAAACAAAGAGGGGAAAACCCAACUGUAGUUGUGCACAAAAAAACCCAAACAAAACCAAAAGAGGAGCAACUUGCCAGGGUGCUAUAAAGAUCACUACCAACAAACCACCAUAAAAUAAUAUAUUUAGUUCACUUAGAGUAUUGAAAAUCCAAGAAAAUAGAAAGGAUAGAGGGUUUUUUGGGAUGUUUAUCAGUUUGGAAAAAGUUACCAAGAACUCCAAGGGUUUUUCAUUUGCUUUCUCACCCUCUCAUACCUUCCAAGAGGCAACAGGUCUUUUAAAUAAUAUUUUUCUUCCUCAGCUUUGUAGUUCUCAGUCCCAAAAUUCAUGUCUGCAAGGGAGGGCUGGAGACUCCCUCCUAAGCUUCUGCACUUCAGGAUCUCUGACUAUCACUCCCUCACCUCUGUGUUUAACUCAUGCUUGGCACAGCACAACUUGAUCUCAAUCAGACCUCCUAGGAGGGCAGCCAGGUUGGAUUUGAUGGCAUCAAGAAAUGUGGAUCAAAUCCUGCCCCUGGAGUUCAUCCCAAGUGUAAGCGUCUUCACUGGUACAAUACAUGCUACUUUCUUACUUGAAAUUACCAGGCUGUAAUGUUCUUUUCAUGGGCCUUACCUGCAAUUAAAGACUGUUUUCCUACAACCAUUUUGUUCAGAAGGUGCUUACACAGUAUAAUCACACCAUCUCUCACUUAAUUUCUGCAUGAAUUUAGCAUGUUAAAUUCUUCAAGUCUCUCGACUUUUUUUCUUAAAAUGCAAAGAACAACAAAGGGCAAACUAUUUUUCUGGUUAAGACCAUCUGUGAAACCAGAACUGGUCCAUACUUGUCUGCAUCUCCUCUCUUCACCCAUCUGGAGCUCCUAUGAGGCCCUUUACCUGCAAUAUCACUCUUCAAUGUCACGCUCAUGUUGGGCUGCAUGUCCACUUUGCCUUCAGCACCCUUUCCUCACUUCCUCUGCUUUCCAGGGUAAAUGUUCUCCCUCCACAUGGUCAGCUGCAGCCCUGUCUCCUUGGCACAGGGUUCUGGCUGCCUGGACACACGUGCUCUGCCUGCAUGAGCCCAGAACCCACAUCUCUCCACGCUACUGCACCCAACUCUUCAUCAGCCACCUUUCCACCUGCCUGGUGUCAUCUGCAGGUUUUGACAGCAGUUGCUGUGUAUCACCUUUCAUGUCCUCGAUAUAACAUUGUCCUUUCAGUCCCUGGGGAUGUACCCUGAGUGACUCCCAAAGGACUGCUCAUUUGGAAGAAUUUUGAUCUCACUGCUCUCUAAGCUGCCUAAAGCUUGUGCUGUUGGCAUCAUGCUAUUGAUAUUGUUAAGAGAAUCCACCAAGUCAACCACCUCACCACAACCUAACCCAUUCAAAGUUUCUUGUCCCAACAAAUGUUUUAACCUCUUCAGAGAACAUAAUUGGAUUUGUCUGAAGGGCCUGGUUUUCAUUUAAAAAAGGCUGAAUAAUAGUUGCAGCUUUUAGCUCUGCUCAGUUCAGCUCCCCAACAGCUUUUCCAUCAUGUCCACAACUGGUUUCAUCCUAUUGUAUGGUGCAGUUUUGCUUUAAACCUUGUCACACCCUUGUGAUUUCGAAGAUGCUAUGCCAUGCUGGGAGAUGUAUAGGAUGGGGUGCCCAGUACCUUCAGGAAACAAGUCUCGGGUUAGAGUCUCUGCUCUCCCAUCAUCCACCUCUCUAAGGGGGCCAGGUACUGGUCUGAAACUGGUGGAAGUGCUCUAGUGUGAUGCAGCUACAGUUUACAUGCAGAAAUGAGGGAGUCAGUGCUAGGAAUAGCAUGGGAAUUUUUCAUUUUCCUUUUUUCAACCACUUUUACCCCUCAUUAAGUGCUUUCAGACCCAGCCUCAGGCUUGAUUUAUUUUUGAAAGGCCAUUUUUAGCCACUGUGUCUUAAAGAAGAAAAGAAAAAAGAGUCUGCUGAGAUCAUUCUUAAAGAAGAAACCAUGAACAUGCACAUUCUGUCACAGCUUCUUCACUUCUCGAUAUCCCACGAGAUCCUCACCACCAUGAUACAGGAGUAUCACUCCGCUCCUCUCACCUGCAGUUCUGUAACAGGGUUGGGAUGGUGGCUCUUCUGCUUUCUAGGCUGGAAAGAUUAUUGCUCUAUUACAAAGAAAAAUAAUCUCACAAAAUUACCAGAUUCAGGAACAUCCCACUUCAGAGUAACCCACUUGAACCUCCAAGUUGCUGCACAGUUUGGUAAAGUAACUUUUUGUGUUCAGGAAUGGUUGUAAUGGAGGCUGGAGAAAUAUGUCUUAAGCAGAUAUCUCUCAGUGUUCAAACAGCCAGGCUUUCUUCUUGGCUCUAAUUUGAUUCUUGCUGCUCUUAAUUUUCCUUUUCAGCUGCUCUGAUAAUGUGAGACUUUGAACUAGCAGCCUCUCCUCUUGAGUCUGUAAGCAUUUACUGAGUAGUGUUUAGUUAAGGGACCAGACAGAGAUGUAGACCAAAGAGGAUGGGAUAUGGAGGGUUUGUGGUUACAGCACAAGACUCUGAAUCAGGAAAUGAUCAGAAUUAACUUCAAGAGAUGGGUCCAACCCACAAAGCUCAGUUCUGCAUCUGCUCCUGCACUGAGCUCCAACUGCCCUGGAGUUCAGGCUGAUUUGGUCUGUGGCUGUUGUGUGGAGAUCAGCUCUGCUUUCCUUGGACUUCCACAAAGCAAAUGCUCAUUUAACAGCAUUACCGAGCGUACCAGAAUGAGAAGAAGGUUCAGUGCAGGGUUAAGUAACCACAUAGCUUCCUAACAGUGAAGGAGUUUGGACCCCAUGGACAUCACCUGGCUUGCAGGUGUUGUGAGAACUUUCUCAGCUUGUCCUGAGAUGUGCUGUGUACACAGAGCCUUAGCUUUUCCCUGGGCUGGAGGGCAGUGGCCACAAAGCCGAUGGCAUCCCUCUUCUUUGAGCUAUCCAUCUUCAUCAAGCCAGAACUAUCCACGAGAAGCAAUAAGAAAUUCCCUCCCUGCUGAACAGCACCACAAAAGAUGUACAGGAUCUGAUUCCCAGAUGGCAAUGUUAAAAACAGAAGGCAACAUGUCUGGGAAAGUACCCGAGGCAUAUCUGAACAAUAGAAAUAAUAGAGAUGUAAGAAGAAGAUAGGUCCUUUCUUUUUUCUGAUGUAUGCAUACCUAUGAUCACUUAAAAAAACAAACAAACA